CACGUAGGGGGCAAGCGUUGUCCGGAUUUAUUGGGCGUAAAGAGCUCGUAGGCGGCUUGGCAAGUCGGGUGUGAAACCUCCAGGCUCAACCUGGAGACGCCACCCGAUACUGCCAUGGCUAGAGUCCGGUAGGGGACCACGGAAUUCCUGGUGUAGCGGUGAAAUGCGCAGAUAUCAGGAGGAACACCGGUGGCGAAGGCGGUUCUCUGGGCCUGUACUGACGCUGAGGAACGAAAGCGUGGGGAGCAAACAGG
rnacentral:rRNA from 1 species